rnacentral:rRNA from 1 species
GAUGAACGCUGGCGGCGUGCCUAAUACAUGCAAGUCGAGCGAACAGACGAGGAGCUUGCUCCUCUGACGUUAGCGGCGGACGGGUGAGUAACACGUGGAUAACCUACCUAUAAGACUGGGAUAACUUCGGGAAACCGGAGCUAAUACCGGAUAAUAUAUUGAACCGCAUGGUUCAAUAGUGAAAGACGGUUUUGCUGUCACUUAUAGAUGGAUCCGCGCCGCAUUAGCUAGUUGGUAAGGUAACGGCUUACCAAGGCAACGAUGCGUAGCCGACCUGAGAGGGUGAUCGGCCACACUGGAACUGAGACACGGUCCAGACUCCUACGGGAGGCAGCAGUAGGGAAUCUUCCGCAAUGGGCGAAAGCCUGACGGAGCAACGCCGCGUGAGUGAUGAAGGGCUUCGGAUCGUAAAACUCUGUUAUUAGGGAAGAACAAAUGUGUAAGUAACUAUGCACGUCUUGACGGUACCUAAGCAGAAAGCCACGGCUAACUACGU